UCUAAUUUCCGUCUAUCUUUCUGUUGUUUUUAUUGUUUAUUCAAACUCCAUAAUCUACACUCAUGGAUGAUUCUGGAACCUUCAUGUGUCUCCCUCUUCUUCAUGGGCCCGUGCCACCCUGGUCCAUUUGCAUUGCUUGGGGUUUUGGAGUGCAUUCGCAUACCCGAGUUUGUGAAAAACAUCGUAAAGACCGAGGAUUAUCCCUCCGAUGGACUUCCUGAGUUCGCUCUUGUUGGCCGCUCCAACGUUAGAAAAUCCUCGCUCCUCAACUCCCUCGUGCGCUGGAAAAAGCUCACCUUAACUUUGAAGAAACCUGGUUAGCCAUUAUUACAACGAUUCCUUUUUAAAUAGUCGUUUUCUGUGCAGUGCAAAGAAAACUUGUGUUCUCAAUGUCAGGCAUUAUUACAAUGACUUAUUUGAAAAUAACGUGUUAGAUUUAAGAUUUACGUGUGUAUUUAGGCAUUUGAACCGUCUCCAUGAGGUAGGACUUAGGAGAGAGGAUUUGUGACUCUAGAUUAGGGUUAGGGUAUUUUUGGAGGGAUAGAGUUUUAUGAAUUGGUGGAUUGAAAUUGAAUUUAGGCAAAUGUAAGGAAGUUUUGUAGGGUUUAGGUGAUGUUGUAUAAAGAAUCAAGUAAUGGCUAAUAUUGGUUAUUAAGGUGCUGGACAUAGUAUAUAGCAAUAGUGCAUUCAAUGUUAAGACAUAAUAAAGGGAUUUUUAAUUUAGGGUUCUGCUCCGCUUUAAUGAUUAGCACAGGGUACGUGAUGCUACAUUCUUUUCAUACAGGUGCUGCAUCUUAAGUGCACUUGUACAAGUAAGCGCUUAUUCUUAUUCUUUGCAAAACUCCGAUCCAAAAAGAAGUUUUUUGAUAAGUGUUCCUUUGGCAGUGCAUUGCUGGACAAAAAGAAGUUCUUAAUACUCCAGAAGUUGUGCAUGUAUAUAUUAGUGUAAAGAGAGGUGGUCCAAAUGUAACAUCCAAUUCAGUUUUGGCUGUUGUACUUGGGAAAGCCAAGGAGCUUGAUGUCUCUAAAGAUAUUGUUGACCGCAAUAUCAAGAGAGCUAAUGAGAAAGGACAAGAGGCUUAUAUCGAGAAAGCCUACGAGAGAACAAGUGUCAGUUGAUUUCAAAUAAAUAGAUGCUCAUGCUCAUCAGUAUAAGGGAAGCAGUGCCAGGUUACUAUAUUAGAUUUUUUUUCUAGACUAAAUUAUACGAAAAUUCCUGAGAUUUCGUGAGAUUACAUAAAAAUUUCCUAUUUUUUUGUUAAAAUAAAUGUUCUUUAUAGAGGGACGUAAUAUUUUUCAAAUAAUUAUGAAAAUCAGUGUGUUAUCUGAUGAAACCUCGUUGGAUAUCAGUAAUCAGUGUAAUUUACUUAUUUUUUUUAUGUAUCGAGAAAGGUUUUAAAAAUCUGCUUAUAUGUGAUAUUGUUUAAUUUGUUCAACAAUAUUGGUGCUGCCAGAGUUAAAAAUGUGUGUGCCACCUUUAGAGCUUUUUGUGAGGCUAAGAACCUGGAAGGGUGAGUGAAUUCUAGCAUAACAUAUUCCUCCCCAUUUCCCUGUUUGAAUCGUUGAACGUGCACUUUACGCUAUUUGCUCCAACAUUGAUAUUUCUUCAUAUCAUGUGAUUUAUUUUGGGAGCGAGAAACUCAUUCUCUAUUUUUAUUUCUUUCUUCAUUUUUUUAUUUAUCUUCAACUAAACAUAUUUUAUUUUACUUUUAGCAGAGGUUUUGCCCUGAUAUUUUGGUUCUCAUGGUUGGACUUUUGAUCCCUUGUUUUGGUUCAACCAUGAUGUAUUUGUUAAAGGCCCUAUUGUCUUUGUCCAUAUUUGCUAAUUUCUUAGCGGCCUUUCUUGUUACUUUUUUACAAGUUUAAUUUCCAUCGGCAUGAGUGAAUUCAUGUCUAAGUUCCUAUUCAUGUCAUCAAUAAAGUUAAUUGAACAUGUUCUUGUUAGAUUUAAUUACAAAAUGUAGUUUUAACAUUGCUUUGACAGGUACUACUCCAUGUAUGGGCAUGUUGAGAAACUAGCAAAAGAAAUAAAGGGGCUUCCUCUGUGGAAGGUGUUGGGGCCAAGUUAUGCAGAGAUGUAUUAUGUGUCAUAAUUUACAUUUCAUGUUCAUUCCAUUAAAUCAUAGCAUGAAAUUACAAAUGGGAAGCAACAUCAAUUCCAGAGCUAAGGCUAAUUCCUCUAUAGAGCAAAUAAAUGCUUUUAAGAAAAAAUAAAAUAAAAAACUAGUAUAAUGUCUAUCACACUGUUAUUUAUGGUUUUCAACUCAACAUUAUUGUGCUCUAUACUCUAUAUUGUGUAGUCUCUUGGAGCAAAACUAUGCUAAGGGGAUAAUGGUUAUUGUGGAGGGGAUAUACAGCAUGGAAGGAGAGCUUUGUAAACGUCUAGAGGUCAUAGCUGUAUGUAAAAAAAUACAAGGUUGCUAUUGUGACAGUGGCAUUUCCUGCAACCCCACUGCUACUGGCUAGAGCACGUAUAUGCAUAUUUGCAGCUCAUUCAAGGGAGGACCUUAUCAAAGCCUUGCAGAUUUUGCCCAGAGAAGCAGAUCCUUAUAAUUGUUCUCAGAUUCAAGUGAACGUCUCUUGGAGGGAAGUCUAUUCUUAUUUUGCCCAGUCAUUAGAUAAUAUGUAUAGGUGGAGUUUGGUUAUUCAUUUGAAACUUACUUUUUGCUUGGAAUUUUAUUACAUAUUGCAUUGUUACACAUUAUAUUAAUUCAAUAAUUAUUUGAUAUGGAGCCUAUAGAUAUUUAAUAAAAGUUCAAGUGUA